AAGUGGCAUGGCGGUGGGAAGUUGGGGUACCAGGUGGUGGGUAUAAUAGAUGGAAUGGAUUGCAUCGAGCACAGGGUUUGGUGAAAAAAGAAUGAAUACCGUUUUGCUAAAAAUAAAU